CGUGCUUAACACAUGCAAGUCGAACGGAAGGCCUCUUGCUUGCRGGGGUACUCGAGUGGCGAACGGGUGAGUAACACGUGGGUGAUCUGCCUUGCACUCUGGGAUAAGCUUGGGAAACUGGGUCUAAUACCGGAUAUGAACUGCCUUUAGUGUGGUGGUUGGAAAGUUUUUUCGGUGCAAGAUGAGCUCGCGGCCUAUCAGCUUGUUGGUGGGGUAAUGGCCUACCAAGGCGUCGACGGGUAGCCGGCCUGAGAGGGUGUACGGCCACAUUGGGACUGAGAUACGGCCCAGACUCCUACGGGAGGCAGCAGUGGGGAAUAUUGCACAGUGGGCGGAAGCCUGAUGCAGCGACGCCGCGUGGGGGAUGACGGCCUUCGGGUUGUAAACUCCUUUCGACAGGGACGAAGCUUUUUGUGACGGUACCUGUAUAAGAAGCACCGGCUAACUACGUGCCAGCAGCCGCGGUAAUACGUAGGGUGCGAGCGUUGUCCGGAAUUACUGGGCGUAAAGAGCUCGUAGGUGGUUUGUCGCGUCGUCUGUGAAAUUCCGGGGCUUAACUUCGGGCGUGCAGGCGAUACGGGCAUAUCUUGAGUGCUGUAGGGGAGACUGGAAUUCCUGGUGUAGCGGUGAAAUGCGCAGAUAUCAGGAGGAACACCGAUGGCGAAGGCAGGUCUCUGGGCAGUUACUGACGCUGAGGAGCGAACGCAUGGGUAGCACACAGGAUUAGAUACCCU
rnacentral:rRNA from 1 species